UUUCCUUAAACGGGCCCGGGCUUUUUCCAGCUGUUCAAUGGCUGUUUCCCAGAGUUCUUCUGAAUUUCGAAUAGUUCUCAAGAUUCUCUGUUUUCGAUUAUCUAAUAAAUCACUUAAUGAAAGUAGAUUCUCUUUCCAUUCAUUUCAAAAUGUCUAUGAUCUCUUCCCGAACCAAACAUGAAUCUUUCAAUUCAUUUGGCUCUCACACUCAAUUCCUUAUAGGAAAUUUCCCCAUAUUUAUUAUGGAAUGAGCCUAUCCUCUUUUCUCUAUUUCUAAAAAUACGGAAAAUGAUUAUCAAUACAAGACCCAAAUAUUGGGAGGACUCUUCUGACCAAACAAAUAAUUGUCAGCAAAGUUGUUUUUUUUCUUGAAAUCCAAAGAAUUCUUAUUAAUUUAUACGUAGGUCAUCAAAUCCGCAUUGUAGAAAAGUAGAAACGGAGGCGUUAAACAAAACACCUUUUUUCCUAUUUUUCAUCAUAAAGAGAAUUCAAGUCAUUUUAUCGACAUGAGUGUUCUAUAUCGAAAAAAUUCUAAUUUCCCCAUUAACAUAGUGGUAGAAAGAAUACUAGACUGCGUCGAAACUUCAAACUCGUUAGCUUUAACCAUAGUAAUGUUCCAAAAUUCUUGGUUGAUAGAGAAUCAAAGUAGAUUUACCAAUGAAUCGCGAAAUUCUAUGGUUCUUAACUACUUUUUUCGUUAUUUAGUAAGAAGUCAUUCGCCGGAUCAUGCACAUUUUUCUAGUUAUAACAAAAAAAGUGCAGUUGGGUGGAUCCAAUCUAUUCUUUGAAAUAAACAACUAAAAACACCUUUUUUCCUAUUUUUCAUCAUAAAGAGAAUUCAAGUCAUUUUAUCGACAUGAGUGUUCUAUAUCGAAAAAAUUCUAAUUUCCCUAUUAACAUAGUGGUAGAAAGAAUACUAGACUGCGUAGAAACUUCAAACUCGUUAGCUUUAACCAUAGUAAUGUUCCAAAAUUCUUGGUUGAUAGAGAAUCAAAGUAGAUUUACCAAUGAAUCGCGAAAUGCUAUGGUUCUUAACUACUUUUUUCGUUAUUUAGUGAGAAGUCAUUCGCCGGAUCAUGCACAUUUUUCUAGUUAUAACAAAAAAAGUGCAGUUGGGUGGAUCCAAUCUAUUCUUUGAAAUAAACAACUCGCACACACUCCCUUUCCAAAAAAAAUCAAUACACCAAGCACUGCACUUAGAUUUAUUAGAUUUGUUGCUAAAAUAUCGGUAUCAAACCCGAAACUUCCGUCGGUUAUAUUUUGCAUAUGAUCGCAUCUCCUCUUAUGGAUAGACUAAUUUUCUUUCUACGAUUCCAAGUUUUUUUUAUUCGUUUUUGUAUAUGAUAGUUUAUUCUAUAAUCGAAUUAUUGAAUAUGAAUAUAUCGACUUAUUCUAUUUUUAUUCUUACUAAUAAUGAAAAGUAGUAAGAAUAAAAAUAUACUAAGAAGACUAUUCUAUAUUUUGAAUUGGUUAGUCAAUUGAAAGAUUCCCUAUAAGAAUUAUACUUCUUAGAAGUAAAUACUUAGUUGUUUUCAACACUUUCUAAAUAUGUGCUUCUAAAAUAUAUUUUAUACUGUGCCCAAUACCGAAAUUAGUUCUAUACAUAUGAAUAGGGAAUUGAAUUCAUUAUAGGACUUAUGAUUCCUUUGACUUAAAAUUGGACUGAAAUUGGACUGAAAUUGGACUGAAAAUUGUAACAAGUUCCCCUUUUUACUUUUCAUGAUCAUGAUAGAUUCGUUAAGGAUAAACUAAGGAAAAAUCAAAAAGAAAUUACAUUGAAAUCCAUUUUUAUUGACCAAUUAGAAUUGCCUCCCCGGAUCUAUAAUUGAUAGAAGAGACAUUUGGCGAUAAGCCUGUGCGUGUUUGGAGGGAUCAUCAUAAAUAAUUAAAGUGUGACGUUCACGGUACAUAAAAUAUUCAGCCAGAGCUGCUCCUGUAUAAGGCGCGAGGUAUUGUGAUGUAGCUGGGGAAUUUGCUGUUUCAGCCACUAUAAUAGUGUAUUCCAUUGCUCCUCUUUCUUGUAAAGUAGUUACUACUUGAGCCACAGAAGAUGCUUUUUGACCAAUAGCUACAUAAACACAUACUCCAUUUUGUCCCUGUUGAUUGAGAAUCGUAUCUGUAGCUACUGCUGUUUUACCUGUUUGUCUGUCCCCAAUAAUCAAUUCUCGCUGGCCACGCCCUAUAGGGAUCAUAGAAUCAAUAGCAAUAAGUCCUAUUUGAAGAGGCUCAUACACGGAACGUCUGGAAAUAAUACCGGGAGCGGGAGAUUCAAUUAACCGAGAUUCCGAAGUUGAAAUUUCUCCUCGACCGUCAAUAGGUUUAGCUAGGGCAUUUACAACACGACCCAAAUUAACCGAGAUUCCGAAGUUGAAAUUUCUCCUCGACCGUCAAUAGGUUUAGCUAGGGCAUUUACAACACGACCCAAAUAACCCUCACUUACUGGUAUCUGAGCAAUUCUUCCUGUUGCUUUUACGAAACUUCCCUCUUGUAUCAUCAAACCAUCACCCAUUAAUACAACACCAAUAUUUUUUUAUUCCAAAUUCAAAGUAAUGCCUACGGUACCCUCUUUAAAUUCUACUAAUUUACCUGCCAUUACGUCAUCAAGACCAUAAAUACGAGCAAUGCCAUCGCCUACUUGAAGUACGAUACCUGUAUUUACAAUUUUUUACUUCGGUAUUAUAUUGCUCAAUACGUUUACGGAUAAUUUGACUAAUUUCAUCUGCACGACUGGUUACCAUGAAUAUUUCUAAAUUUGUUUCGAAGAAAAACAAAAAUAAGUCUUCCCUAUACUCUCUAUUAUAGUAGAACAACUAAUCAGUUCUAUAGUAGAACAACUAAUCAGUUAUUUUUUGCUUUCAUCGACCCAAACAUACCUAUAGUAGCACCGAUCGUACGUAAAUGUAACUCGUUGUUUAAGCAACUAUUAAGAGUUCCCAGAGCUCCUUGUAAUGCUAGUUGUAAAACACUUUGUUGGACUUGAUUAAUCGCCCUUUGUUGUUCAAAAUGAAUGGUUUUAUUUUUUUCAUUUUCGAAUUGUUCCAAACUUGUAUAAAUUGAAUUAAUUAAAUUCAAUUUUUCUCAUUCUAUCUCGGCAUAACCAUUCACUCGAAACCGAUCUGCUUCCAAUUCUACUUUCCUUAAACGGGCCCGGGCUUUUUCCAGCUGUUCAAUGGCUGUUUCCCGGAGUUCUUCUGAAUUAUGAAUAGUUCUCAAGAUUCUCUGUUUUUGAUUAUCUAAUAAAUCACUUAAUGAAAGUAGAUUCUCUUUCCAUUCAUUUCAAAAUGUCUAUGAUCUCUUCCCGAACCAAACAUGAAUCUUUCAAUUCAUUUGGCUCUCACACUCAAUUCCUUAUAUGAAAUUUCCCCAUAUUUAUUAUGGAAUGAGCCUAUCCUCUUUUCUCUAUUUCUAAAAAUAUUAAAAAUGAUUAUCAAUACAAGACCCAAAUAUUGGGAGGACUCUUCUGACCAAACAAAUAAUUGUCAGCAAAGUUGUUUUUUUUCUUGAAAUCUAAAGAAUUCUUAUUAAUUUAUACGUAGGUCACCAAUUCCGCAUUGUAGAAAAGUAGAAACGGAGGCGUUAAACAAAACACCUUUUUUCCUAUUUUUCAUCAUAAAGAGAAUUCAAGUCAUUUUAUCGACAUGAGUGUUCUAUAUCGAAAAAAUUCUAAUUUACCUAUUAACAUAGUGGUAGAAAGAAUACUAGACUGCGUCGAAACUUCAAACUCGUUAGCUUUAACCAUAGUAAUGUUCCAAAAUUCUUGGUUGAUAGAGAAUCAAAGUAGAUUUACCAAUGAAUCGCGAAAUGCUAUGGUUCUUAACUACUUUUUUCGUUAUUUAGUAAGAAGUCAUUCGCCGGAUCAUGCACAUUUUUCUAGUUAUAACAAAAAAAGUGCAGUUGGGUGGAUCCAAUCUAUUCUUUGAAAUAAACAACUCGCACACACUCCCUUUCCAAAAAAAAUCAAUACACCUAGCACUGCACUUAGAUUUAUUAGAUUUGUUGCUAAAAUAUCGGUAUCAAACCGAAACUUCCGUCGGUUAUAUUUUGCAUAUGAUCGCAUCUCCUCUUAUGGAUAGACUAAUUUUCUUUCUACGAUUCCAAGUUUUUUUUAUUCGUUUUUGUAUAUGAUAGUUUAUUCUAUAAUCGAAUUAUUGAAUAUGAAUAUAAUCGGACUUAUUCUAUUUUUAUUCUUACUAAUAAUGAAUAGUAGUAAGAAUAAAAAUAUACUAAGAAGACUAUUCUAUAUUUUGAAUUGGUUAGUCAAUUGAAAGAUUCCCUAUAAGAAUUAUAAUUCUUAGAAGUAAAUACUUAGUUGUUUUCAACACUUUCUAAAUAAAAAAGGGGGUCAUUGGACUAAAGAAAGGGACGGAAGAAGGCAAAUCCAUAUGUUAAUCUGAAUGAAAAAAAAAUUGUAGGAGU
rnacentral:lncRNA from 1 species